GAGAAAGGCGCUUUAUACUUUAAAAGAUAAUCAGCUCAAGCCGUGAUUUGAUCUUGGAGUAGAGAAAGUUGAUAAAAAGGACUGGUUUUAUACUUUUGAACAUACUGGGCAAGUACUCAACAACACGCACAGUGAUGUUAUUUUUUACUAUUUGAGGAAGAGGAAAAAGUAUGGUCCUGAAAAUAAAACACGGUUUACAACCACUGACUGUAUGUUCAAGACUAGAAUUGAAUAAAUUUAUGAGAGUGACUGUGGUGUAUACGUGGCAUCAUUUGCAGAAUAUGUCAACAUUGGAGAGCUAUCGAUUUCAAAGGAAGACUUUUCUGAUAUUGAUCAACACCGUCGAUACUAUGGAGCACUCCUUUGGGAUUAUGAUAGGAAAAAGCAAGAGUUUGGUGUAAUUAGUGAAAGUGGGGUGUGUGGAAGAUUAGCAAGAAGAAAAGGUGCACCAGCUAUGAACGAGAGAAUACAAGUCCGGGAAAAGAAGAAUUAGUUGCCCUUUUCAGUAGAAAAAUUAUACUUAAAGUGUUUAGAUGUAGCUGGAUUGUAGUAAAGUUGUAGAUAAAUUGUUUAUUAAG